UGGGGAAUUUUGGACAAUGGGCGAAAGCCUGAUCCAGCAAUGCCGCGUGUGUGAAGAAGGCCUUCGGGUUGUAAAGCACUUUUGUCCGGAAAGAAAUCCUUGGCUCUAAUACAGUCGGGGGAUGACGGUACCGGAAGAAUAAGCACCGGCUAACUACGUGCCAGCAGCCGCGGUAAUACGUAGGGUGCAAGCGUUAAUCGGAAUUACUGGGCGUAAAGCGUGCGCAGGCGGUUUGCUAAGACCGAUGUGAAAUCCCCGGGCUCAACCUGGGAACUGCAUUGGUGACUGGCAGGCUAGAGUAUGGCAGAGGGGGGUAGAAUUCCACGUGUAGCAGUGAAAUGCGUAGAGAUGUGGAGGAAUACCGAUGGCGAAGGCAGCCCCCUGGGCCAAUACUGACGCUCAUGCACGAAAGCGUGGGGAGCAAACAGGAUUAGAUACCCCUGGGUAGUCCCACGCCCUAAACGAUGUCAACUAGUUGUUGGGGAUUCAUUUCCUUAGUAACGUAGCUAACGCGUGAAGUUGACCGCCUGGGGGAGUACGGUCGCAAGAUUAAAACUCAAAUGAAUUGACGGGGUCAUAGCUGUUUCCU
rnacentral:rRNA from 1 species